rnacentral:rRNA from 1 species
GUGUCAGCCGCCGCGGUAAUACAGAGGGGGCAAGCGUUGUUCGGAAUUACUGGGCGUAAAGGGCGCGUAGGCGGCCGCCUAAGUCAGACGUGAAAUCCCUCGGCUCAACCGGGGAACUGCGUCUGAUACUGGGUGGCUUGAAUCCGGGAGAGGGAUGCGGAAUUCCAGGUGUAGCGGUGAAAUGCGUAGAUAUCUGGAGGAACACCGGUGGCGAAGGCGGCAUCCUGGACCGGCAUUGACGCUGAGGCGCGAAAGCCAGGGGAGCAAACGGGAUUAGAUACCCCCGUAGUCC